UACCAGCUCUCCGAGUGGUAGGGAUGAUUAUUGGGCUUAAAGCGUCCGUAGCCGGCUUAGCAAGUCUCCUGUUAAAUUCAGCGACCUAAUCGUUGAGCCGCGGGAGACACUCCUAGGCUAGGAGGCGGGAGAGGUCGACGGUAUUCUCGGGGUAGGGGUGAAAUCCUAUAAUCCCGGGAGGACCACCAGUGGCGAAGGCUGUUGGCUAGAACGCGCUCGACGGUGAGGGACGAAAGCUGGGGGAGCAAACCGGAUUAGAUACCCGGGUAGUCCCAGCUGUAAACGAUGCGGGCUAGGUGUUGGUGUGGCUACGAGCCACUUCAGUGCCGCAGGGAAGCCGUUAAGCCCGCCGCCUGGGGAGUACGGCCGCAAGGCUGAAACUUAAAGGAAUUGGCGGGGGAGCACCACAAGGCGUGAAGCUUGCGGUUCAAUUGGAGUCAACGCCGGGAACCUUACCGGGGGCGACAGCAGAAUGAAGGCCAGAUUAAAGGUCUUGCCGGACAAGCUGAGAGGAGGUGCAUGGCCGUCGCCAGUUCGUGCCGUGAGGUGUCCUGUUAAGUCAGGCAACGAUCGAGACCCGCACCCUUAGUUGCUACCAAGGAAGUUUUCCAAGGGGCACUCUAAGGGGACUGCCGCCGACAAGGCGGAGGAAGGAGCGGGCCACGGCAGGUCAGUAUGCCCCGAAUCCCCCGGGCCACACGCGAGCUGCAAUGGCAGGGACAAUGGGUUCCCACCUUGAAAAAGGGAGGCAAUCCCCAAACCCUGCCUCAGUUGGGAUCGAGGGCUGCAACCCGCCCUCGUGAACAUGGAAUGCCUAGUAAUCGCGCGUCAUCACCGCGCGGUGAAUACGUCCCCGCUCCU
rnacentral:rRNA from 1 species